rnacentral:lncRNA from 1 species
CAACAUUCACUGGUUUUUCUAUGGCCUGUUGUGCAUCAUAUUAUUGGAAUGAUCCCGAAAGAAGAUAACAGCUUGUUUUCUUCACCGCCACCAGUCUACCUGCUCUCUGCACACUCGGCAGAGCGCGGCAGGGCACCCCACGGAGCUGCACUAGUCACAUCCGGGCCCCACGCCGGUCGACGGCCGAUGCGCCGCUGGGAGGCCUGCGGCGCGGACGACGGAUGCGGCAGUUGGUCAAGACACGGCAGCCUACUCGAGGUGCUUCUCGCCUGGAGGACGCAGGCGAAUCGCGUUAUCCGAGCUGUGCCUCGUCAUGGUGCGAUGAGCCUUAAUAGACUAAUGCAUAUUCUUCCUUUGGCUGUAAUUCAUUUGCUGCUGCCCGCUGGGCUAAGGAGUAACUCUGGGCGCCUACUUUGGGCAGACGCUCGUCCAGUGCCGCUCUUCGUUUGCCGCACAUAUCUUUAUUUAUUCUUUGUUACAAUUCCGUCUUUGGUCAUUUUUUUUUACCAUGGGGGCACUUGAAAGUUUUGUUUUUAAAUCUGUGGACAUUGAACCUGGAAUCGGUUUUAUGUCGGAUUUCGGUUUUGUUUUUGCACUGUGGAAAUAUCUCGUUCAAUAUUUUUAAGAUAGGGCGUGCUAAAACUUUUAGUCUCAUUACUCCUCUGUGCAUCUAAAUUCUAAAGUACUAUAAUGUGCAUCUCAAGUGUUUGGUGCUGUACUGUUAUUAUUUAUGGUUAAUCCAGUGCUGUACUGUUAUUAUUUAUGGUUAAUCCAGUUUUUAUUCGAUUGAAUCGUUGUGUGUAGUGCAUGACAUCCGCGUACCGCCUGUAGCAGUGUUAUAUAUUUUCAUUUAUGCUGGAAAAUAAUAACUUUCUUGUUCAUUG